rnacentral:rRNA from 1 species
CGCGGCCGCAGAGUUUGAUCAUGGCUCAGGACGAACGCUGGCGGCGUGCCUAAUACAUGCAAGUCGAGCGAAUCAAUGGGAGCUUGCUCCCGUUGGUUAGCGGCGGACGGGUGAGUAACACGUGGGCAACCUGCCUAUAAGACUGGGAUAACUUCGGGAAACCGGAGCUAAUACCGGAUAAUCCUUUUUGACACAUGUCGGAAAGCUGAAAGACGGCGUAAGCUGUCACUUAUAGAUGGGCCCGCGGCGCAUUAGCUAGUUGGUGAGGUAAUGGCUCACCAAGGCGACGAUGCGUAGCCGACCUGAGAGGGUGAUCGGCCACACUGGGACUGAGACACGGCCCAGACUCCUACGGGAGGCAGCAGUAGGGAAUCUUCCGCAAUGGACGAAAGUCUGACGGAGCAACGCCGCGUGAGCGAUGAAGGCCUUCGGGUCGUAAAGCUCUGUUGUUAGGGAAGAACAAGUACCGGAGUAACUGCCGGUACCUUGACGGUACCUAACCAGAAAGCCAUGGCUAACUACGUGCCAGCAGCGCGCGGUAAUACGUAGGUGGCAAGCGUUGUCC